rnacentral:lncRNA from 1 species
GUUCUUGCUUAAUUUCUCCUUUUUCUGUUGGGUCUUUCACUGCAGGUUUAGCUCUGCACGGGAACUGGCAAAUUUGGUGCUGAGCUCCAAUCUAAUCGACUGUGCUUUCACCAAAAUUCUUGAACUUAAGAGAGGCCAAACAGCCUUGCCUGUUCAAUACAGACUUUAUCAACUGUCUUCCAAGUGCACAAUUGUAGCUUUUGUCUCUUCACCUGACUGCACUCAAUACCCUCUUCCUGGACAAGGAGAUUUAGAUCGGUCUCCUCUCUUUGACUUCCUCCGUACCGAAGAAUACCCGUCCGUCUCCAUUAACAGAGCAGCAUUAGCCCUCUAUACCCCUCUCCAUGAUCAUCUCUCUGGACUAACAGAUGAGGUCAAAAUCUGAUACUUGUUUGAAUUUUCGUUUCCUUUUCGUUAACAAUUGUGAGACACGAAACAGCUUGACCAUGAGAUCUCCCUCAUGGAGUCGAACUACCUGAAGGAUAAGACGUCACACAUAUCCAUUUUCAUGGCAUCGUCACAUGACCCAUUGAUCGGUUGUGAUUCAACUCUUAAUAGGAACACAGUAGAACUGGUGUUGGUAUAUCUGUCUUUAGAUAAGCUUGCAUAUAUCUUGUCACUGAAAAAGGAAUGUUCAGAAGUGAGAUUAGUGGCAUUAUUCUGACAUGGAUUUCAUAUGGUUACUUGUUUUGCAGUUGACUCAGAUUGAAGGUCAGUUAAUCAUCACUGGGCACUCCCUGGGAGGAUCCGUUGCUUCUCUCUUCACCUUACGCCUGCUAGAUGGCAAUUUAUUAAAACCCAAAUGCCGCCCCUUUUGUAUCACCUUUGGUUCACCCCUCAUAGGCGACUUUGGCCUCCAACACUCCAUAUGGAAUUCUUUCUUCCUGCAUGUAGUGUCUAACCAAGACCCAGUCCCCGGACUCUUCCUCCCAUCCGGCAGAUCUCCGCCCACAUCCUCCCAUUCACAAACUACCGGUUACAAGCCCUUUGGGACAUAUCUCUUGUGCUCUGAACUUGGUUGUGCUUGUUUUGACAACCCUGAUUUAAUUUUGGGAUUGCUUAAAGUCAUAUCAUCAGAGGUUGCCGGAGGAUUGCAGGAUGUUGACUAUGGGGAGAUUUUAAGAAACCUCAAGGAGAGGGCAAUCUGCAAGGGACUGCCGCAGGUGGGUGAACGGUUUGCAGAUCCAUUUUCAGCUGGGAUCAUCAUGGAACUUGAGACAAUUGGAUUUAAUCAAACAAAGGUAAACAGCUUUCUCCCAUCUAAUGAUGUUAUGAAACAUGGUUUACACUACACCAAAUACUGCAAUAACUGCCCUAUUCAGAUUUAUCUUCUUGUUCUUUGGGAUCUUCCAUAACUAGUCUCAUUUUUAAAAUUCAUGGCAGUUGCUGCAGCAUAACAUUGAUAUCAACGCUAUGAUAAGAACAAUGGAAGCGGAAACCAGAAGCCUAAUCCAGAAAAAUAAAGCUUCCGAUGCCAAGAAACUGAAUGACAUAAAAAGAGACAUGGCCCAUCUAGAAUGGUAUAAGAAGAAAUCGGAAAUGGGUUACUACGAUUGCUUCAAAAAUCAGGGGUCUAAAAGGGACAUCAACGUUGAACAAUUUAGGGGAAACCUCACAAUGUACUGGGAAGACAUGGUUGCACAAGUACAGAGGAAGCCCCAGAAGGAAGGAGCAACAUUUCGAACCCGUUGGUUCUAUGCAGGGACAGUUUAUAGGAGAAUGGUUGAACCACUGGACAUUGCUGCCUUCUACAGAGAGGGUGGAACAGACUACAUAAACAAUGGAAGAUCUCUUCAUUACAAGCUGUUGCAGCAAUGGUAUGAAGAAGAUGUGAAACCCCCCUCUAGAGAUAAGCUUGAUUCCAAGAAGCAAAAGGUGUCUGGUAUCCUAACUGAGGAUUCUUUGUUUUGGGCACAUGUGGAGGAGGCCAUCUUGUCAUGCGAAUUGCUCAAGAGUCAAAACUGUACUCUUGAGCAGGGAAAAUCAUCAUGGGAUAAUCUGGUUAAGUUCGAGGAGUAUGUAAUGGAACAUAUUAACAACUAUGCAGCGUCCCCUGAGAUUUUCUCGAGGGAAAGCAGCUUCAUGAAAUGGUGGGGACUGUAUGAGGGCUACAUAGAUACUUGCAGUAAUUCCCAUGGGUCGCCAUUGAUCAACUUCAUGAAGAAACGUAGCUAUAUGAAGUAUGGUUAGAGGGGCAAUCCAGUUUGUGUGUUGUGUUUGUUGUUUUGUGAGCGUUCAAUGGAUAAAACUAGAAAGAGUGACCUUUUUCCCUUUUUCUUGGUUGCUGCCCAUAUUCUCAGCACUAUUUUCUUCCUUCUUUUCCUCUGUUUUUUUGUUAAGAAAUGAAUAUUAUGAUGUUGCUGGGAUGCACUUUCAUUGUUGUUCUAUUACAUUGUGUUUUAUUUAUAUCCUAAACAAAUAAAUCAAAACAAGAAAAUCAAAUAAGACUUAAAGAGUCUUUUCCUUCAAAAAAAAAAAUGGGGAAAAAGAAAAACAUUUUUGUUUAGAUUCAACUCCACCAAAACUUGCAACAACUUCCCAUUGAAAAAUUCCUUUUAAGCUUCUGAAUGAUAUAAAACCAGAUAUGUUCCAGCUAGAAUGGUACAAGAAAGAAAUCAAAAGAUGAGUACAGUGGGUUAUUAUGACAGCUUUAGAAACCUGGGGUGUAAAAGAGACAUUAAAAUGGAACCGAUGGGAAGACAUGGUAGAACACGUAGAGAGGAAGCCUCACCAGGAAGGGGCAGCUUUGCAAACCCUCUGGCUCUGUACAGGAACGAAUUAUAGAAAGAUGGUUGAACCACUUGACAUUGUUCCCUACCACAGAGAGGGUGGAAGACACUACAUAACAUUACACGCUAUUGGAGCAAUGAUGCAAUGAAGAGGAGAAGGGGGCUUUGUCUUCUCAUGCAAAUUGCUCUCAGAGCUCAGAACCUACUCCUGAAGGGAAAGAAUCAUCAUUGAGUGAUCUGGUUAAGUUUGAGGAUUUAUUUAUAUAAUUGAACUGAUUGGAAGCUAUGCAGUGUCGGCCCCCGCCCGAGCAGCUUCAUGAAACGGUGGAAAGAGUUGGAAGAAGUCAUAGAUACUUGCUAUAGGAGCUUCAUGAAGUAUGGAGAGGUGUGGCAUAGAUACUUGCAGUCUCUGAAUUUCCCAAAUCCAAUUUCAGAUUGUGUAUUUAGAUUCGUGGAACUUGUUUUCUUGCUUUUUGUUAGGUACAAUUGAGAUGGGCUGAACCGAAAGGCCCGCCAGGAUGAACAAUAUAAUGGGCCUGAAUUUUAAACCAGCGGAUGGGCUUUGUACUGGAUUCAGCUGUCUGAGCCCAAUGAGUAUUGAAUGUAUUUCUGUAUAAAAUUAAAUUUUUAACAUUGAAAUAUAAGGACUUACUUAAAAACACAUUUGGUAACUUUUUUUUUUUUAUGGUUAAUAAUAGAUUUAAAAAAAAAUUAAAAAUAUAUAAUUUUUUAGGAUAAAUUUGAGGCAUGUUUAGGUAUUUUUCGUGGUAAAGAGUUUUGAGAAGCAAUGGGAAAUAUACAGAAUACUUUAAAAACUUUUGCAUAAGUAAGAUACUUACACGAGGCUUUCAUGAAAAAUAAAUUGAUAAAAACAAUUCUCAUAUUUAAAUUUCGAAACAUAAAACAACUCAGAACUGUUUUUAAAAAUUGUUCUUAAAAAUAGUUUUCUAUUAAGUCACAUUCAAGGAUGCUUUUAUCUUUUAUUUUUCUAUGUUUCAUCCUUGCAUAAAUGGAGUACAAAGACAUAAGUUAAUCUAAUUAACAAAUAUAGAUAAUCAUCCGAUAAAAGAGUAAAUUAGGUGAUGAUCUCUUUAUAUAUGCAAGUAAUGGAAUGAAUGUGAUGAAAAAUAAAAUAAAAAAGUAAGGGGAGAAAUGUUGUAAAUAAAGUGUUUUUAUUGUAGUUCAACGACCUAUCCACUUCCGCACCUUGACAUAUUUCACAAUUUUAAAAGUUUUCUUAAUCAUGAUUCUCUUUAUUAUUCUUUAAGUCCGGAUUUCUUAUGUUUCAAUAGACUUUUACAAUCACUAAGAUAGUGUUUGUUUUUUCACUUAAUUCUAAAUAUAACUUAAAACUAAAUAAUAUUUAAUAAUAUCAGGAUUAGGUUGUUUUUUUUAUAACAUUUUAUUUCUAUAUAAUAUUAAAAAGUAAAGAAAAAUCAAUAUAUUAUUUUUUUCAUUUAAAAAAAGUCAAAUAUUUUGACUUUUUUUUAAGCUAAAAAUUUAUAAUAAAAAAUAAAAAACAAACAAACAAACAAACAACUUAAAGUGUAAAAAUAGAUUGUUUUCAAUAAAAAUUUAAAAAAAAACAAACACCUUCUAAAUAAAAUUCCUUAACCACUCGUUCAAUAGCUCCUUUAAGCACAAAAUGUAUUGAAGUGCUCACAAUGAAAAGAUAAACAAGUUUUGAUUCAAUAUAAUUUUGGGUUAUCUAAUUAAAAGGGUCAUUGAAAACCCAAUUUUAGAAAUAUAACCCUUCAUCAUUUUUUUAUCUCGUGUUAACAAAAAUGCUCUUAUUAUUUUCUUAUAAAAAUAAUCAUUUCUUUUAAAACACACUAUAAAUACUCCAAAUAGCCAAGGGCUUUUAUGUAAAAAAAAAUGAAUUACUCUUCAAAUAAAAAUAUUGGAGGGAAUAAAUUCACAAAUAUGAGGUAUUUCAUCCCUUUUAAAUAAUUAUUUCUAUAAUUUUAAGAGUUUAAGAAGGCUAGACAAAGACUAAUUAUUAGGCACAUUUUGUAAAAACACUAGUUAUUAGACACAUUUUUUGCUCAAUCAAGCAAUCACACAGUUGACUAAACACUAAUUAUUGGACUUUUUUUUUUUAUAAUAAGUGGAAGACAAGAAUACAAUCGACUACUUUGGUCAAUUAAGCAAUCAUUCAGUUGACUAUAAACUAGUCUUUAGACAUUUUUUUUUAUAAUAAUUGGAAGACAUGAAUACAAUCGAUUACUUUGGUCAAUUAAUCAAUUAUUCAAGAAAUUUAGAAAAAUAUUGGAUAAAAGAUAUAUAUAACGGAUUAUUUCAAAUUGAAACUUAAGAUCAUAAAUCUUACUUUUAAUGUUGAAAAAUCAUGUAAAACACAAGUUUUUAUCUUUGAAGUAAUCAAUUUCAUUUUUCACAAAAAAUCAUUAAUAAUACAUGAAUGAAUUCUUUUAAAAAAAUCUUAUAAAAAAUGUGAUUAUUUUUCAUUCCCAAAUAUUUAGGUUCUAAAGGUCAAUUUUAAAGCAUACUUAUCCUUACUAUGCCUUACAAGAAAAUCUAUUCUAUACAUAUGAUCUUGUAAAAAACUGUAAAUAAAAAAGAAAAAAAGAAAAAAAACCUCUCUUGUUUUCCUCUUUUGAUUGGAUAUCAUUAUCAUACUUAAAAUUAAAUAUUUAAUCAAAAUAUUAUUUUACUAUCAUCAAAAUUUAGAUUUAACCAAACUUUAGGCUAGUAUGUUGAUACGACAAGUUAAUUUUCUAUCUUAAAGUUUUAAAAACUUUUGAAAUUAAACAUUUUCUUACACAUUUAUUUUUAAAGUUUUUAGCAUAAAAUUUAAAAUUGAAGCUUUUAAAGGAAAACCUCAUAAUAUAAUAUACUAGAAAGACAUGGUCAAACAAAUAGAGACGAAGCCUCAAAAGGAAGGGGCAAUGGUUGAACCACUUGACAUUGUUGCCUACUACUAAGAUGGUGUAAGAAACAACAUAACCAAUGGAACAUAUGCACAUUAAACAUUGUACAAUUAUUAUAAAUGUCUUAUACAUUAUGUGUGAAAAUACCAAAAAAAAAGAAAAAUUAUAUUCAACAUUUACAUUUGUAUACAAACAAUGUUUUCGACAAUUUGAUAUAAAAAACAAAUAAAAAAAAUAAAGAAAAACAUACAAAUAUAUUUACAAUGGACAAACUUAUUCAAUUAGUAUAAAUAUCUUGUAUAUUUAAUACAAAUACCUUAUACUUUGUGAAAAUGUAAAAAUAUAGUAUUUAAUAUUUAUACAUGUGGGUAAGUAAUUUUUCUAAUGGUUUGAUUUAAAAAACAAAUAAUGAGAAUCAAGAAAAACAUGCAAAUAAAUUAGUGUGAAUGAUAAAGGGUGUUUUUUACCAUAAAUUUUCAUGGACUUAGCAUCAAUUAUGCAUCUAUAGAUGUUAACCCAAUUAGCAUAAUGUGAAAACCCUUGCACACAAUAUAUAAACCCUAUACUUGAAUUAGGAAGGACAAAAAAAAAAUAGUUAGAGCAAUUGGUACCAUCAAUGAUGACUUCACCUAAAGAAAGGUUAAUGAACAUUAUGUUCUCAACGGAGAGCAACUCUGGUAGAACAUAUGGAGUAAAUCAAUGCCCUUCUUUUAACGAUGAAGUAGCUAAGUCAUGAAAACAAGGUUUUGCUAACAACAUUAAAGGCAAGAAUUCCCCCAAUAUACUCCAAUUCAUAUUCAAUUCACAGACCUUCAACUAACUACUCUCAGUAACGAGCAAACCCAAGUCAAUACAUAAGAUUGAUUAUUACUUAUGAUAAUUGAAACCCUAAUUAAAUAAAUAAGGACACAAAUAUAUAUAUAUAUAUAUAGGGACAGUUGUGUUUUGGACCUAGGUGAACCCAAAAAUUAAGGUUUGGUUUAUAUAACUUACAUAAUUGAUGAAAAUGAUAUAAGAUAUCAAAAUAUCAAAAUACUCAUUGACCUUUCACAUAAGCUUUUUUGGUAUUUAUUGCACUACUAUUCAUUCAACCAUAAUAAUUCUAUUUUAACUAUUUGGAUUUUUCAUUGUUUUUUAAAACUUUUUAUUUAUAAAUAAUUGAAAAUCAACAUUAUUUUCUAUUUUAAAUUAUAAAUAAAGAAAAAUUACGUUCGAAAACUAUUUUAAAAAAUACUUUCUAAAAAAAAUGGUAAUAUGAUUUAUAUUUUUUAUAUUUUCUUUUAGAAAAAAAUAUUUAAUUAAAAAAUGAAAAAUAUUUUUAAAAAUAAAAAUUGGAAACCUUGUUUAGUACUAUUUUUUUUAUAUAAAAAUAAUAAAAAUAAUUAAAUUUCAUUUAUUGAUUAUCCAUUAAAUUUUAUAUGAAAAUUUUGUAUAAGAGUAAAAAGAUUCAAUAUCUUUAAAAAAAGAAAAAAAAAACAAAACAAAAAGUUAGAAAUGAGUAAUACUUAAUUGGGAAUAGAAAAUGGGAAAAAUUUUGAAAUUUACACUCACUAUAUGUCUACGUAGGGAUUAAGGGUAUUUUAGGGAUUAAUGAAGGAUAAUAUCUUUUAACUUAAUUUUUACAUUUUAUUUGGGUCUUGGGAUUAAAUGUACAUUAUAUAUGGAUCUUUGGUUAAUUUUUGGACCCAUCCGGACCCAAAACACAAUUCUCCAUAAAAAAAUAUUUAUUAAAAUAAAUAAAUUAAUAAAAACCAUUUAGAGAGUUUCAUAACUUAGGUGGUGUUUGUUUUUUUGGCUUUUUGGUGAAAACCAUUUAGUUUUAGAAUUUAGGUUGUUUGUUUUUUUACUUUUUCAUGACUUAUUAUAAACUUUUUACAAAAUAGAAAAAGCCAAAAUAUAUGACUUUUUCUAAAUAGAAAAAUAACACAAUGGUUUUUUUUACUUUUUAAUACUUAAUAGAAAUAAAAUAUUAUAAAAACAAACAACCUAAUAUUUAAUACUAUUAAGUAUUAAAGUUCUAUUUAGAAUUAAGUAAAAAAACAAACACCACCUAAGUGUCGAAGCUAUUGUAAGAAAAAAGUAUUAUAUAAUGUAGGGUUUAGGUUCAAAGUCUACCUAAGAUUAAAUUUAAGUCUUAAGACAAAUUCACAUUCAAAACUAGGUUUUUAAGUUAGAAAAAUAGACCCCUUAAACCAAUUAAAUGGUAAAAAAAAAUUACAAAGAAAAUUUCUCUAGCUGGUUUCUUCAUCUUGAAAACUAACGGAAACAUAUAUCAAUAUUUGGUAUGAAAAUUCGUAACCUUAGAAACACAGCUUUGAGUCUUGCUGAGAAAAACAAAGCUUAUUUGCUCGUAGACCAUCGUAGUGGUCGUCAUACCGUGUGAGGACCGGGGAAGCAUCUUUGCUCGUAGACCGGCUUUUGUAGUCUUUCUUUAACAAUUGCAAGUUGUCAGGAUUCCCUUCAUCCUCCUAUAUAAUAUUGUUUUUGGUCUUGUUCUGGUUGUAUCUCCGUGGAAGGAAGGAAGAUGAAUCAAGUUCCUUUGUAUGUAUCAAUGUCUCUGAUUCAUUUUUUGGUUCCUAGAAUCGAAUCCUCGCUCUGUUCUUGCUUAAUUUCUCCUUUUUCUGUUGGGUCUUUCACUGCAGGUUUAGCUCUGCACGGGAACUGGCAAAUUUGGUGCUGGCCUCCAAUCUAAUCGACUGUGCUUUCACCAAAAUUCUUGAACUUAAGAGAGGCCAAACAGCCUUGCCUGUUCAAUACAGACUUUAUCAACUGUCUUCCAAGUGCACAAUUGUAGCUUUUGUCUCUUCACCUGACUGCACUCAAUACCCUCUUCCUGGACAAGGAGAUUUAGAUCGGUCUCCUCUCUUUGACUUCCUCCGUACCGAAGAAUACCCGUCCGUCUCCAUUAACAGAGCAGCAUUAGACCUCUUUACCCCUCUCCAUGAUCAUCUCUCUGGACUAACAGAUGAGGUCAAAAUCUGAUACUUGUUUGAAUUUUCGUUUCCUUUUCGUUAACAAUUGUGAGACACGAAACAGCUUGACCAUGAGAUCUCCCUCAUGGAGUCGAACUACCUGAAGGAUAAGACGUCACACAUAUCCAUUUUCAUGGCAUCGUCACAUGACCCAUUGAUCGGUUGUGAUUCAACUCUUAAUAGGAAUACAGUAGAACCGGUGUUGGUAUCUGUCUUUAGAUCAGCUUGCAUAUAUCUUGUCACUGAAAAAGGAAUGUUCAGAAGUGAGAUUAGUGGCAUUAUUCUGACAUGGAUUUCAUAUGGUUACUUGUUUUGCAGUUGACUCGGAUUGAAGGUCAAUUAAUCAUCACUGGGCACUCCCUGGGAGGAUCCGUUGCUUCUCUCUUCACCUUACGCCUGCUAGACGGCAAUUUAUUAAAGCCCAAAUGCCAUCCCUUUUGUAUCACCUUUGGUUCACCCCUCAUAGGCGACUUUGGCCUCCAAGACUCCAAAUGGAAUUCUUUCUUCCUGCAUGUAGUGUCUAACCAAGACCCAGUCCCCGGACUCUUCCUCCCAUCCGGCAGAUCUCCGCCCACAUCCUCCCAUUCACAAACUACCGGUUACAAGCCCUUUGGGACAUAUCUCUUGUGCUCUGAACUUGGUUGUGCUUGUUUUGACAACCCUGAUUUAAUUUUGAGAUUGCUGAAAGUCAUAUCAUCAGAGGUUGCCGGAGGAUUGCAGGAUGUUGAUUAUGGGGAGAUUUUAAGAAACCUCAAGGAGAGGGCAAUCUGCAAGGGACUGCCGCAGGUGGGUGAACGGUUUGCAGAUCCAUUUUCAGCUGGGAUCAUCAUGGAACUUGAGACAAUUGGAUUUAAUCAAACAAAGGUAAACAGCUUUCUCCCAUCUAAUGAUGUUAUGAAACAUGGUUUACACUUCACCAUAUACUGCAAUAACUGCCCUAUUCAGAUUUAUCUUCUUGUUCUUUGGGAUCUUCCAUAACUCGUCUCAUUUUUAAAAUUCAUGCCAGCUGCUGCAGCAUAACAUUGAUAUCGACGCUAUGAUAAGAACAAUGGAAGAGGAAACCAGAAGCCUAAUCCAGAAAAAUAAAGCUUCCGAUGCCAAGAAACUGAAUGACAUAAAAAGAGACAUGGCCCAUCUAGAAUGGUAUAAGAAGAAAUCGGAAAUGGGUUACUACGAUUGCUUCAAAAACCAGGGGUCUAAAAGGGACAUCCACGUUGAACAGUUUAGGGUAAACCUCACAAAAUACUGGAAAGACAUGGUUGCACAAGUACAGAGGAAGCCCCAGAAGGAAGGAGCAACAUUUCGAACCCGUUGGCUCUAUGCAGGGACAGUUUAUAGGAGAAUGGUUGAACCACUGGACAUUGCUGCCUUCUACGGAGAGGGUAAAACAGACUACAUAAACAAGAAAAGAUCUCUUCAUUACCAGCUGUUGCAGCAAUGGUAUGAGGAAGAUGUGAAACCCCCCUCUAGAGAUAAGCUUGAUUCCAAGAAGCAAAAGGUGUCUGGUAUCCUAACUGAGGAUUCUUUGUUUUGGGCAUAUGUGGAGGAGGCCAUCUUGUCAUGCGAAUUGCUCAAGAGUCAAAACUGUACUCUUGAGCAGGGAAAAUCAUCAUGGGAUAAUCUGGUUAAGUUCGAGGAGUAUGUAAUGGAACAGAUUAACAACUAUGCAGCGUCCCCUGAGAUUUUCUCGAGGGAAAGCAGCUUCAUGAAAUGGUGGGGACUGUAUGAGGGCUACAUAGAUACUUGCAGUAAUUCCCAUGGGUCGCCAUUGAUCAACUUCAUGAAGGAUCGUAGGUAUAUACAGUAUGGACGUUAGAGGGGCAAUCCAGUUUGUGUGUUGUGUUUGUUGUUUUGUGAGCGUUCAAUGGAUAAAACUAGAAAGAGUGUGACCUUUUUCCCUUUUUCUUGGUUGCUGCCCAUAUUCUCAGCACUAUUUUCUUCCUUCUUUUCCUCAGUUUUUUUUGUUAAGAAAUGAAUAUUAUGAUGUUGCUGGGAUGCACUUUCAUUGUUGUUCUAUUAAAUUGUGUUUUAUUUAUAUCCUAAACAAAUAAAUGUAAACAAGAAAAUCAAAUAAGACUUCAAAGAGUCUUUUCCUUCAAAAAAAAAAAAAAUGGGGAAAAAGAAAAACAUUUUUGUUUAGAUUCAACUCCACCAAAACUUGCAACAACUUCCCAUUGAAAAAUUCCUUUUAAGCUCUGAAUGACAUAAAACUAGAUAUGUUCCAGCUAGAAUGGUACAAGAAAGAAAUCAACAGAUGAGAACAAUGGGUUAUUAUGACAGCUUCAGAAACCUGGGGUGUAAAAGAGACAUUAAAAUGGAACCGAUGGGAAGACAUGGUAAAACACGUAGAGAGGAAGCCUCACCAGGAAGGGGCAGCUUUGCAAACCCUCUGGCUCUGUACAGGAACGAAUUAUAGAAAGAUUGUUGAACCACUUGACAUUGCUGCCUACCACAGAGAGGGUGGAAGACACUACAUAACCAAUGGAGGAUCUAAACAUUACACGCUAUUGGAGCAAUGAUGCAAUGAAGAGGAGAAGGGGGCUUUGUCUUCUCAUGCAAAUUGCUCUCAGAGCUCAGAACCUACUCCUGAAGGGAAAGAAUCAUCAUGGAGUGAUCUGGUUAAGUUUGAGGAUUUAUUUAUAUAAUUGAACUGAUUGGAAGCUAUGCAGUGUCGGCCCCCACCCGAGCAGCUUCAUGAAACGGUGGAAAGAGUUGGAAGAAGUCAUAGAUACUUGCUAUAGGAGCUUCAUGAAGUAUGGAGAGGUAUGGCAUAGAUACUUGCAGUGUCUGAAUUUCCCAAAUCCAAUUUCAGAUUGUGUACUUAGAUUCGUGGAACUUGUUUUCUUGCUUUUUGUUAGGUACAAUUGAGAUGGGCUGAACCGCAAGGCCCGCCAGGAUGAACAAUAUAAUGGGCCUGAAUUUUAAACCAGUGGAUGGGCUUUGGACUGGAUUCAGCUGUCUGAGCCCAAUGAGUAUUGAAUGUGUUUCUGUAUAAAAUUAAAUUUUUAACAUUGAAAUAUAAGGACUUACUUAAAAACACAUUUGGUAACUUUUUUUUUUUGGUUAAUAAUAGAUUGUUUAAAAAAAAAUUAAAAAAAUAUUAUUUUUUAGAAUAAAUUUGAGGCAUGUUUAGGUAUUUUUCGUGGUAAAGAGUUUAGAAGCAAUGAGAAUAUAUAUAGAAUACUUUAAAACUUUUGCAUAAUACUUACUUACAUGAUGCUUUCAUAAAAAAUAAAUCAAUAAAAACAAUUUUCAUAGUUGAAUUUCAAAACAUAAAACAACUCAGAAUUGUUUUUAAGAAUUGUUCUUAGAAAUAGUUUUCUAUUAAGUCACAUUCAAGGAAUCGUUUUCAUAUAUGCAAGUAAUGGAAUGAAUGUGAUGAAAAAUAAAAAAUAAAAAGUAAGGGGAAAGAUAUUGUAAAUAAAGUGUUUUUAUCGUGGUUCAAUGACCUAUCCACUUCCACACCUUGAUGUAUUUCACAAUUUUAAAAGUUUUCUUAAUCAUGAUUCUCCUUAUUAUUCUUUAUGUCGAGAUUUUUUAAGUUUUAAUAGACUUUUUCAAUCACUAAGGUGGUGUUUGCUUUUUCACUUAAUUUUAAAUAUAACUUAAAACUAAAUAAUACUUAAUAGUAUCAACUAUUAAGUUGUUUGUUUCUAUAACAGUUUAUUUCUAUAUAAUAUUAAAAAGUAAAGAAAAAUCAACAUGCUAUUUUUGUCAUUUAAAAAAAGUCAAAUAUUUUGAAUUUUUUUAUUUAGCUAAAAAUUUAUAAUAAAUCCUAAAAAGAUAAAUAAUAAUAAUAAUAAAUAAAUAAAUAAAUAAAAACAAAUAAACAACUUAAAGUCUAAAAACAAAUUGUUGUCAACAAAAAAUUAAAAAAACAAGCACUUUCUAAAUAAGAUUCCUUAACCACUCGUACAAUAGCUCCUUUAAGCACAAGAUGUAAUGAAUGAAUACAACUUUGGUGAAAUAACUAAAGUGCUCACAAUGAGAAAAUAAACAAGUUUGGAUUCAAUAUAAUUUUUGGCUAUCUAAUUAAAAGGGUAAUUGAAAACCCAAUUUUGGAAAUAUAACCCUUCAUCAUUUUUUUUACCUCAUUUUAAUAAAAAUACUCUUAUUAUUUUCUUAUAAAAAUAAUCAUUUCUUUUAAAACAUACUAUAAAUACUUCAAAUAAUCAAGAGCAUUUAUGUAAAAAAUGAAUUACUCUUCAAAUAAAAAUAUUGGAGGGAAUAAAUUCACAAAUAUAUGGGGUAUUUCAUCCCUUCUAACUAAUUAUUUCUAUAAUUUAAAGAGUUUAAGAAGGCAAGACAACUAAAUAAAUGAAGUUUUCAAGUUAUUGUCUCUAUCAUAAAUAAAGUCCAAUAAUCACAUUUGUAUCGUUUUGUACAAAGACUAAUUAUUAGGCAUAUUUUGUAAAAACACUAAUUAUUAGACACAUUUUUCGCUCAAUCAAACAAUCACACAGUUGACUAGAAACUAGUUGUUGGACAUUUUUUUUUAUAAUCAUUGGAAGACAAGAAUACAAUCGACUACUUUAAUCAAUUAAGCAAUCAUACAGUCGACUAUAAACUAGUCAUUGGACAUUUUUUUUAAAAUCAUUGGAAGACAGGAAUACAAUCGAUCACUUUGGUCAAUUAAUCAAUUAUUCAAGAAAUUUAGAAAAAUAUUGGAUAAACGACAUAUAGUGGAUUAUUUCAAAUUGAAACUUAAGAUCGGAAAUCUUGCUUUUAAAUCAUGUAAAACACAAGUUUUUAUCUUUGAAGUAAUCAAUCUCAUUUUUAACAAAAAAAAUCAUUAAUAAUAUAUGAAUGAAUUCUUUUAAAAAAUGUGAUUAUUUUUCAUUCCCAAAUACUUAUGUUCUAAAGGUCAAUUUUAAAGCAUACUUGUCCCUACUAUGCCUUAUAAGAGAAUAUAUUCUAUACAUGUGAUAUUGUAAAAAAGUUUAAAAAAUAAAUAAAUAAAUAAAUAAAACCUCUUUUGUUUUCCUCUUUUGACUAUAUAUCAUCAUUAUCAUACUUAAAAUUAAAUAUUCAAUCAAAAUAUUAUUUUAUUAUCAUCAAAAUUUAAAUUUAACCAAACUUUAGGCUAGUACGUUGAUAUGACAAGUUAAUUUUCUAUCUUAAAGUUUUAAAAACUUUGAAAUUAAACAUUUUCUUACACAUUUAUUUUUAAAGUUUUUAGCAUAAAAUUUAAAAUAAAAAAAUACAUUAUUUUCAAAUUCAUUUUGAAAAUUUUUAUUUUAAAAAUAAAAAAUUUAAUAAAAAAAAAUGCAGGCCAGUUUUUUUUCCCUCUUUUUACCCUACAGUUUAAUUAAUUUGAGGUUAGAGGAAAGCUAUGAAAGAAAGAAAAUAAAAAUAAAAAAGAAAAUGAAAGAAUGAAAAAUAUAGCAAAAAAAUUUAAAAGAAAAAAUCUACAAGCUAAUAUUUUUUUCUUAUUUGAGAUGAUAUUUUAUAUUUAGCUUUACUACAAGCUAAAGUCACCAAAACCAUGAUCACAAAAGGGUAAUAUUGAUAUAAUGAAAGAUUAUGAAAAAAAAAAAGUUCUAUAACAAGCAAUAUUUGCUUGACUUUCAUUUAAAAAAAUUUAAAAUCAAAAUACUUUUAGUAAAAUUAUCUAAACAUGUCAAACCUAAACGAAGUGAGUGUUUCAUAUUAAGUUAUUUUUUAAGCCAAAAAACUUAUUUUAAUAGAAUUAAUCACAUAGAUAAAAAGUUGCUAUCGUGGUGGGAAAAAGGUUUUCUUUCAUUUAUUAAAUGCUAAUAAAUUUUGAAUUAUUGAAUUCAUAAAUCUUUUAAUAAAGGUCUCAUUACGUUACAUCUAAGGUUUUAUUGUGUUGGCAUCUUAUGUCUGGUGUUAUUAUUUAUUUUAUAUCCAUUUUAUUGUUUUAUAGUUUAAUCUCAUUUGAUUGUACUAUCAUUAAAUAAUCUAAAUUUGAUUACUAUGAGAUUUUAAAGUUAGAUAUGAUGUCAAUCAUGGUAUAGAUUUUGAAAGAUAUUAUCAAAUCAAAUAUUUAGGGUAUUUGAUAAAUCAAUUUAAUAACUUAAAAUGAUUUAAUAAUUUAUUUAUAUUAAUUUAAAGUUUUCAAAUAAAUUUUUUUAUAAAUAUAAUUUUAGAUUUAAGUAAAGAUAAGUUAAUUUUAAAUUUUAAAUUAAAAUAAUUAACUCAUUCUUAGUUAAAUCUAAAACUAUAUUUAAAAUAAAUAAAAACAGAGAUGGAUAUAAAUUAAGUCAAUAACUCACUUUAAAUCAUUGACUUGAUUUACCAAACACUUCAAAAUCUCACAUUUACAAGACCUGAAGUGGAUCCUUUUCAAUGAAUAUUGUCAUAUUUGUUGGAGUGUACCCAAAAUCCAAAUAUUUCAGUCUUUUUUCUCUUUAUUUCAUUUUAAAAUAAAAUAAUAAUCAUUAUACCAUGAACUUUCAAAAGUACCAUCAUUAUGUCAGUGGAGAUGGGAAGCUGAAAGCCUGAAACAAAUCAAUGGUGAAAGACACCAGUUUUCCAACAACAAAAAAGGCCAAAUCUGAUUCCAACUCAUCCAGUCUAUCUGUGCACUUUGACAACUGAAACACUUUAUUCCAAUUCACAUUUCACUAGAAAUUCCAUUCCAUAUCUACUCAAUAUUCACUGAAAAGGGUUUACAAUGAAAUAACAACUNNNNNNNNNNNNNNNNNNNNNNNNNNNNNNNNNNNNNNNNNNNNNNNNNNNNNNNNNNNNNNNNNNNNNNNNNNNNNNNNNNNNNNNNNNNNNNNNNNNNGAAAUUCAAAGAGCAACACUACUAACAUCUCAGAAUCCUCUGUGCAAUCACUACCAAAACUUUUCCUUACACAUGAAUGAAGAAAUGAGGCUGUACAUAUAUAAUCUGCGGAUGACAACAUGCAAGAAUGCAAAUGGGGGAAAUGGGGAAACAAAUAUUCUAGACAGGGUCUUAUUGGAAAGAAUCUAGGAUUGGGGCUUGAAGAAAAAUGGAAGAAUGGCAUCAUAAGACUGCAGUCUGAGUGGGAGAAGAAUUCAGGCGGGAGAGACAGGUUGAAGAUGAGUUCAGUAAUGAGCUCUCAAGGCUUGGGCAUGGUUCAGGGAACACCCAUUGGGAGAACCCAGAGACAUUUGAGCAAACCCAAGAGAUGGAGGCAGGAGGAGUAGUUGAUAGGGAGAUGUUGGAUAGACAAAUGGAAGUGAACGGGGAUUCUUGAAUACCAGUGAAGCUUCCAGCAAUGGUUAUGUUUGUGCCGAUCACAUUCUGCAAGGUGAUGUGAUCCAAGACAGGGAGUGCAUUGGGGUCAAAAUGGUCAUCUGGGUGGGAGCCGAUUUGGCCUGUUGCACUGAAGGCUGUGUGGAUGUUUUCCAUUGCGACAUCUGAUAUGAUGAUUUCUUGGAUAUAACCACCUCUUCCCUUGGUAGUUCUGAACUCGAUGCCACUGAAUGAGUUGUAUAGGUGGACCUGCUCCACACAGACGUUAGAAAUGCCACCAGACAUCUCACUACCGAAGGCCAGGGAAGAGCCAGAUGAUGAUUGAAGGUUGACCCGUCUGAUGUGUACAUUUGUGGUGGGUCUACCAUAGGCAAUGCCAUAUUCAUCCCAGCCACUCUUGAGUGCAAUGGCAUCAUGGCCCAUGGCAAUGCUGCAAUCCUCUAUGCAGGUGCUAUCUGAAGAAUCUGAAAUCAAAACAUUAUACAAAGUUGACUUAGCAAAAUUCUUUUCAUGACUGAACCCUUCCUGAACAUAGAAAAAAGUAAAAUUAUAAUCUACAUGAACCACUAAACAAACCACAGGUAACAACCUGUUUCCUCUUUCAACAAAUAUCCCUAUCAAUAUACUUAAACAUUCAUAUAUACAUUAAAAACUAAUAUAGAUUUUCAGAAAUAUCUUACCAAUCGGAAGAGGGUUCAAACAAUAAACAAAGACAAAACAAUUCUAGCACUGAUAAUUAAAGAUCCAAAAGUUUAUCAAAUUUAGUAAAAAGAAACAGACCAAAACCUACAAAAUUAUUGUUAAACAAGUGAAAAACAAAACAUUAAAUUAUCUAUUAUCACUCUUGGAGACUGACGGUAUGAAAAUAAGUUCAAAUGCCUCAGAUUCCUUCACCUCCAUUCUUAAUUCCUAGCCUCUUCAACAACCAAGUUUCAAGUACCUUAAUUCGUCCAUCUCCAGAACUGAUAGCAAAGAAGUCCAAAGAAGGGGUAAAGGUUGUUAAUAAAUCUCGGAUAUUCGAUGGGCCCAUGGUCCUGUAUCAAAAGAAUAAAUUAAAUGUCAAAGUCCUUACAAUUCAUAAUUUACAAAUUAGAAAUGAAAUUGUAGAUAUACGAGAGGUGUUCCAAGACGUUAUUAAGGGAGAUUGACUGUAACUGCCUAUUGAUAAAGAAACAAAACAACUUACCAUGACGAAAAUAAUAUAGCUCAAAAUCACAGUAGGAAGUGCCAAAAAAAGGUGGCAAUCCUCUGAAACAUAUGAUGAAGAAGAUAUAAAAAAAUAUAUAAGAAAGACACAGCAUUAAAAAUUUUAAAGCUCGCCAAUAUGUUGCCAAUCCAGUAAAUCAUUUCAUUAACUAAACUGAUUCAGCACUUAAGCUCUAAUAACCUUUGUUUGGUAGCCGAGAAAAUGGAAGAGAAGGAGGAAAAAAAUGCAAUAUCAUGCUAUCUGUUACUGAAUCAAGCCAAACAAUUCAGUUAAACUUGGCUGAACAGCAGUUUUAGCUUUCUUAGCCUGAAUAACGAAAAUUCAAGAUUUUAUCUAUUUUACUUUCCUGCAUUUUCUCAGCUUCCCGGUUUGUCUACGGACAAACUAGAGGAAAAUAAAAUAAAAAAUAAAAAGAAAACUAAAACCAGGUAUUUUCAGUUGUUCUCCAUAAAAAGCAAACGAAAAAUCAACAGAACUAAAUCCUGAGCAAUUACCGAUCCGGCUCAGGCUGAAUUUCCGGUUCUCUUAGAAAAUAUUAUAUAGCAGUUCCAAUAAGGGACCGUCGUGCAUCAUUAUACUAAUUUUCCUCCGUUUUUCGGCAACCAAACAGAGGAUAAACUUGUUUUGAGGAGAAGAUGCACGCUUACCUGUUUUGGCGACCGGCGGCGGCGAGAUGCAAAGAAAAAGAGAGAACGAGAGAGGGGUUUUACCUGUUUUGGCGACCGGCAGCGGCUAGAAGCAAAGAAAAAGAGAGAACGAGAGUGGGGUUUUAGGAACGCAGCCGCGUAGCUGCUCAUUUCGCAAGGGCCCCUUUUUUAUUUCUUUUUCUUUUUUUUCAAUUUUAGGAUUUUUCAUUUUAGCCUCCAUAUUUGAGUGUAUUUAGAUUUGUGGAACCUGUUUUGGGGCUUUUUGUUAGGUACAAUUGAGAUGGGCUGAACCGAAAAGCCCGCCAGGAUGAACAACAUUAAUGGGCCUGAAUUUUAAACCUAUGAAUGGGCUUUAUACUGGAUUCAGCUGUCUGAGCCCAAUGAGUAUUGAAUGUGUUUCUGUAUAAAAUUAAACUUUUAACAUUGAAAUAUGAGGACUUACUUAAAAACACAUUUGGUAACUUUUUUUUUUGGUUAAUAAUGGACUUUAAGAAAAAAUUAAAAAUAUAUUAUUUUUUAGAAUAAAUUUGAGGCAUGUUUAGGUAUUUUUUGUGGUAAAGAGUUUUGAGAAGCAAUAGAAAAUAUAUAGAAUACUUUAAAAACUUUUGCAUAAGAUACUUACUUACACGAGGCUUUCAUGAAAAAUAAAUCGAUAAAAACAAUUUUCAUAUUUGAAUUGCGAAACAUAAAACAACUCAAAACUGUUUUUAAGCAUUGUUCUUAAAAAUAGUUUUCUAUUAAGUCACAAUCAAGGAAGCUUUUAUCUUUUAUUUUUCUAUGUUUCAUCCUUGCAUAAAGGGAGUAUAAAGACUAAAGUUAAUCUAAUUAACAAAUUUGGAUAAUCAUCCAAUAAAUGAGUAAAUUAGGUGAUGAUCUCUUUAUAUAUGCAAGUAAUGGAAUGAAUGUGAUGAAAAAUAGAAAAAAGUAAGGGGAGAAAUGUUGUAAAUAAAGUGUUUUUAUUGUGGUUCAAUGACCAAUCCACUUCCACACCUUGACAUAUUUCACAAUUUUAAAAGUUUUCUUAAUCAUGAUUCUCCUUAUUAUUUUUUAAGUCCGGAUUUCUUAAGUUUCAAUAGACUUUUACAAUCACUAAGAUGGUGUUUAUUUUUUCACUUAAUUCUAAAUAUAAGUUAAAACUAAAUAAUAUUUAAUAAUAUCAAGUAUUAGGUUGUUUUUUUUUAUAACAUUUUAUUUUUAUAUAAUAUUAAAAAGUAAAGAAAAAUCAAUAUGUUAUUUUUUUCAUUUAAAAAAAGACAAAUAUUUUGCCUUUUUUUUAAGCUAAAAAUUUAUAAUAAAAAAAAAAAAGCAAACAAUUUAAAGUGUAAAACAGAUUGUUUUCAACAAAAAUUUAAAAAAACAAACACUUUCUAAAUAAGAUUCCUUAGCCACUUGUACAAUGGCUUCUUUAAGCACAAAAUGUAAUAAAUGAAUACAACUCUGGUGAAAUGACUAAAGUGCUCACAAUGAGAAGAUAAACAAGUUUGGAUUCAAUAUAAUUUUGGGUUAUCUAAUUAAAAUGGUCAUUGAAAACCCAAUUUUGGAAAUAUAACCCUUCGUCAUUUUUUUACCUCAUUUUAACAAAAAAAAGCUCUUAUUAUUUUCCUAUAAAAAUAAUCAUUCCUUUUAAAACACACUAUAAAUACUUCAAAUAGCCCAAGGUUUUUAUGUAAAAAAAAAUGAAUUACUCUUCAAAUAAAAAUAUUGGAGGGAAUAAAUUCACAAAUAUGGGUAUUUCAUCUCUUUUAACUAAUUAUUUCUAUAAUUUUAAGAGUUUAAGAAGGCUAGACAAAGACUAAUUAUUGGACUUUUUUUUUUAUAAUCAAUGGAAGACAGGAAUACAAUCGACUACUUUGAUCAAUUAAGCAAUUAUACAGUUGACAAUAAACUAGUCGUUAGACAUUUUUUUUUAUAAUAAUUGGAAGACAUGAAUACAAUCGAUUACUUUGGUCAAUUAAUCAAUUAUUUAAGAAAUUUAAAAAAAUAUUGGAUAAAAGAUAUAUAUAUAUAUAACGAAUUAUUUCAAAUUGAAACUUAAGAUCAGAAAUCGUGCUUUUAAUGUUGAAAAAUCAUGUAAAACACAAGUUUUUAUCUUUGAAGUAAUCAAUUCAUUUUUCACAAAAAAUCAUUAAUAAUACAUUAAUGAAUUCUUUUAAAAAAUCUUAUAAAAAAUGUGAUUAUUUUUCAUUCCCAAAUACUUAGGUUCUAAAGGUCAAUUUUAAAGCAUACUUAUCCUUACUAUGCCUUACAAGAAAAUCUAUUCUAUACAUAUGAUUUUGUAAAAAAGUGUAAAUAAAAAAAAUAAAAAAUAAAAAAUAAAAAAUAAAAAAAACCUCUCUUGUUUUCCUCUUUUGAUUGGAUAUCAUUAUUAUACUUAAAAUUAAAUAUUUAAUCAAAAUAUUAUUUUACUAUCAUCAAAAUUUAGAUUUAACCAAACUUUAGGCUAGUAUGUUGAUAUGACAAGUUAAUUUUCUAUCUUAAAGUUUUAAAAACUUUUGAAAUUAAACAUUUUCUUACACAUUUAUUUUUAAAGUUUUUAGCAUAAAAUUUAAAAUUAAAGCUUUUAAGGAAAAACCUCAUAAUACAAUAUACUAGAAAGACAUGGUCAAACAGAUAGAGAGGAAGCCUCGAAAGGAAGGGGCAAUGGUUGAACCACUUGACAUUGUUGCCUACUACUAAGAUGGUGUAAGAAACAACAUAACCAAUGGAACAUAUGCACAUUAAACAUUGUAUAAUUAUUAUAAAUGUCUUAUACAUUAUAUGUGAAAAUACGAAAAAAAAAAUAAAAUAAAAUUAUAUUCAACAUUUAUAUUUGUAUACAAACAAUAUUUUCAAUACUUUGAUAUAAAAAACAAAUUAAAAAAAUGAAGAAAAACAUAUAAAUAUAUUUACAAUGGACAAACUUAUUCAAUUAGUAUAAAUAUCUUGUAUAUUUAAUACAAAUACCUUAUACUUUGUGAAAAUGUAAAAAUAUAGUAUUUGAUAUUGAUACAUGUGGGUAAGUAAUUUUUCUAAUGGUUUGAUUUAAAAAACAAAUAAUGAGAAUCAAGAAAAACAUGCAAAUAAAUUAGUGUGAAUGAUAAAGGGUGUUUUUUACCAUAAAUUUUUAUGGACUUAGCAUCAAUUAUGCAUCUAUAGAUGUUAACCCAAUUAGCAUAAUGUGAAAACCCUUACACACAAUAUAUAAACCCUAUACUUGAAUUAGGAAGGACAAAAAAAAAAAUAGUUAGAGCAUUUGGUACCAUCAAUGAUGACUUCACCUAAAGAAAAGUUAAUGAACAUUAUGUUCUCAAUGGAAGAGCAACCCUAGUAGGACAUAUGGAGUAAAUUGAUGCUCUUCUUUCGACAACGAAGUAGCUAAGUCAUGAAAAUGGGGUUUUGCUAACAACAUUAAAUGCAAGAAUUCCCCAAUAUACUGCAAUUCAUAUUCAAUUCAUAGACUUUCAACUAACUACUCUCAAUAACGAGCAAACCCAAGUCAAUACAUAAGAUUGAUUAUUACUUAUGAUAAUUGAAACCCUAAUUAAUAAAUAAGGACACAAAUAUAUGUAUAUAUAUAUAUAUAUAUAUAUAUAUAUAUAUAAAAUAGAGACAAUUGUGUUUUGGACCCAGGUGGAUCAAAAAUUAAGGUUUGGUUCAUAAAACUUACAUAAUUGAUGGAAAUGAUAUAAGUUAUCAAAAUACCAAAAUACUCAUUGAUCUUUCACGUAAGCUUUUUUUGUCUUUAUUGCACCACUAUUCAUGCAACCAUAAUAAUUCUAUUUUAACUAUUUGGAUUUUUCAUUAUUUUUUAAAACUUUUUUUUUAUAAAUAAUUGAAAAUCAACAUUAUUUUCUAUUUUAAAUUAUAAAUAAAGAAAAAUUACGUUCAAAAACUAUUUUAAAAAAUAAUUUCUAAAAAAAUGGUAAUAUGAUUUAUAUUUUUUAUAUUUUCUUUUAGAAAAAAAUAUUUAAUUAAAAAAUGAAAAAUAUUUUUCAAAAUAAAAAUUGAAAACCUUGUUUAGUACUAUUUUUUUAUAUGAAAAUAAUAAAAAUAAUUAAUUUAUUAUCCAUUCAAUUUUAUAUGAAAAUUUUUUAUAAGAGUAAAAAGAUUCAAUAUCUUUAAUAAAAGAAAAAAAAAACAAAACAAAAAGUUAGAAAUAAGUAAUACUUAAUUAGGAAUAGAAAAAGGGAAAAAUUUUGAAAUUUACACUCACUAUAUGCCUAUGUAGGGAUUAAAGGUAUUUUAUGAAUUAAUGAAGGAUAAUAUUUUUUAACUUAAUUUUUACAAUUUAUUUGGGUCUUGGGCUUAAAUGUGAAUGAUAUAUGGAUCUUUAGUCAAUUUUUGGGCCCAUCCGGGCCCAAAACACAAUUCUCCCUAAAAAACUAUUUAUUAAAAUCAAUAAACUAAUAAAAACCAUUUAGAGAGUUUCAUAACUUAGUGUCGAAGCUAUUGUAAGAAAUAAGUAUUAUAUAAUGUAGAGUUUAGGUUUAAAGUCUACCUAAGAUUAAAUUUAAGUCUUAAGACAAAUUCACAUUCAAAACUAGGUUUUUAAGUUAGAAAAAUAGAUCUCUUAAACCAAUUAAAUGGUAAAAAAAAUUACAAAGAAAAUUUCUCUUGCUGGUUUCUUCAUCUUGAAAACUAACGGAAACAUAUAUCAAUAUUUGGUAUGAAAAUUCGUAACCUUAGAAACACAGCUUUGGGUCUUGCUGAGAAAAACAAAGCUUAUUUGCUCGUAGACCAUCCUGGUGGUCAUCAUACCGUGUGAGAACCGGGGAAGCAUCUUUUCUCGUAGACCGGCUUUUGUAGUCUUUCUUUAACAAUUACAAGUUGUCAGGAUUCCCUUCAUCCUCCUAUAUAAUAUUGUUUUUGGUCUUGUUCUGGUUGUAUCUCCGUGGAAGAAAGGAAGAUGAAUCAAGUUCCUUUGUAAGUAUCAAUGUCUCUGAUUCAUUUUUUGGUUCCUAGAAUCGAAUCCUCGCUUUGUUCUUGCUUAAUUUCUCCUUUUUCUGUUGGGUCUUUCACUGCAGGUUUAGCUCUGCACGGGAACUGGCAAAUUUGGUGCUGAGCUCCAAUCUAAUCGACUGUGCUUUGACCAAAAUUCUUGAACUUAACAGAGACCAAACAGCCUUGCCUGUUCAAUACAGACUUUUUCAACUGUCUUCCAAGUGCACAAUUGUAGCUUUUGUCUCUUCACCUGACUGCACUCAAUACCCUCUUCCUGGACAAGGAGAUUUAGAUCGGUCUCCUCUCUUUGACUUCCUCCGUACCGAAGAAUACCCGUCCGUCUCCAUUAACAGAGCAGCAUUAACCCUCUAUACCCCUCUCCAUGAUCAUCUCUCUGGACUAACAGAUGAGGUCAAAAUCUGAUACUUGUUUGAAUUUUCGUUUCCUUUUCGUUAACAAUUGUGAGACACGAAACAGCUUGACCAUGAGAUCUCCCUCAUGGAGUCGAACUACCUGAAGGAUAAGACGUCACACAUAUCCAUUUUCAUGGCAUCGUCACAUGACCCAUUGAUCGGUUGUGAUUCAACUCUUAACAGGAAUACAGUAGAACUGGUGUUGGUAUCUGUCUUUAGAUAAGCUUGCAUAUAUCUUGUCACUGAAAAAGGAAUGUUCAGAAGUGAGAUUAGUGGCAUUAUUCUGACAUGGAUUUCAUAUGGUUACUUGUUUUGCAGUUGACUCAGAUUGAAGGUCAGUUAAUCAUCACUGGGUACUCCCUGGGAGGAUCCGUUGCUUCUCUCUUCAC